rnacentral:rRNA from 1 species
GCAGUCGAACGGCAGCACAGGAGAGCUUGCUCUCUGGGUGGCGAGUGGCGGACGGGUGAGGAAUACAUCGGAAUCUACUUUUUCGUGGGGGAUAACGUAGGGAAACUUACGCUAAUACCGCAUACGACCUUCGGGUGAAAGCAGGGGACCUUCGGGCCUUGCGCGAUUGAAUGAGCCGAUGUCGGAUUAGCUAGUUGGCGGGGUAAAGGCCCACCAAGGCGACGAUCCGUAGCUGGUCUGAGAGGAUGAUCAGCCACACUGGAACUGAGACACGGUCCAGACUCCUACGGGAGGCAGCAGUGGGGAAUAUUGGACAAUGGGCGCAAGCCUGAUCCAGCCAUACCGCGUGGGUGAAGAAGGCCUUCGGGUUGUAAAGCCCUUUUGUUGGGAAAGAAAACUUGCGGGUUAAUACCUUGCAAGUCUGACGGUACCCAAAGAAUAAGCACCGGCUAACUUCGUGCCAGCAGCCGCGGUAAUACGAAGGGUGCAAGCGUUACUCGGAAUUACUGGGCGUAAAGCGUGCGUAGGUGGUUGUUUAAGUCUGUUGUGAAAGCCCUGGGCUCAACCUGGGAACUGCAGUGGAAACUGGAUGACUAGAGUGUGGUAGAGGGUAGCGGAAUUCCCGGUGUAGCA